CCCAUGUGGGGCUCGAUCCCUGGACUCCAGGAUCACACCCUGGGCUGAAGGCAGGUGCUCAACCCCCAAGCCACCUGGGCGUCCCAUGGGAGGCCUUCAAUAAAUAUUUCUUAAGUGAAUGCUGGGGUUCGACUAUAGAUAGUUCACAUGCAGAAUCUCAUUCGUUCAUUCCUGGCCCACUAAACCAUGGCCCCCGCCUGAAGUUAGGCCUAAUUAAAAGAAGGAAAGGCAACACACCUAUCGAGAAAUGAGCUUUAGAUGGGCCCAUUUCUCACACACAUACACACACACACACCUCUACACCUCUUUCUAGGAGAAAUUAGAACCUGGGAGCUGAGUCUCCAGCAAGCUGGGAGUUAGGGCUAAACUAACCAGGGCAGGAAUAGGAGUCCUGGUAAUCACUGGGACCCAAGUUCUCUGCUAGACUCAGGACACUGCUCCCCAAAGCCAGGCAACAAGUCGGCUGUCUCUCCUGGCUCAGAGGGCCCUCCUUCCUCAUUCCCAGGGUCUUCAGGCAGCGGGCAGAGGCAACGGAGGGGCUGGGGGAUGCAGGGAUGCAACUUUUGGAUGGGGAAAGGAAGCUCGUACUCUUUGGCACCCUUCUCCCUGGACUUCUCAGGCAUCUGAGCCUUUGGGGCAGCAAAAGGAGAUGGCAUCCCUUGACCUAGGCCUCGCUCAAGCCUUGUACCUGCAAAAGAAACGUUGGUCAGGCCAUUGCCCCAUCCAGGGAGUGAGAACAUCCUGGCUACUCCCCCACUGUGCUGGGGCCUGGCCUCAACUUACCGGGAAUGGUGUUCUCUAAGAGGAAGCCCAAGAGUCCUGCCAGGAAGAUGGGCUCUGUGAGCAGCGAGCGCAGUAACACAUCCAAGGGGCUCCAGCCUACAGAGGGUUGGGGCCAGGCAGGAGGGGAACUCUGAUCCUAUGCAGGGUCAAAGAAUCUUCUAUUUCUAUACCUAAAUCUAAAUCUCAGGCUGAGAACAGGUCUUUCUGAAUUGUUAUCUCGUCUCCCCCGGCCUUUGCCCCCCAACUCUGUAUUUCCCUCAUCUAGGCCCUUCCCACAAGAUCCCAGCCCAUCAUCCUGUCUUCUGACCAUCCACAGGCCCUCCAGAUAUAUUUUGAUAGUUCCAGGCUCUGGAAAGUUUGAUAUUAAAAGCCCCAACCAUGGGGCACCUGGAUGGUUCACUUGAUUAAGCAGCCGACCCUCGGUUUUGGCUCAGAUAAUGAUCUCAGGGUCCUGGGGUCAAGCCUGCUCCCAGGCUCCCAGCUUAAUGGGGAGUCUGCUUGUGGACUCUCUCCCUCUCCCUUAGCCCCUCCCCCACUAGCACCUUCUCUCUCCCUCUCUCUAAAAUAAAAAUAAAUCGAUCUUACAAAUAAAUAUAUAAAUGCCCCAAUCUUGCUCCCCACUUCUUACCUUCCAUGCUCUAGCCUGGUUUUCUCAACCUCAAUACUUACUGACAUUUUGGACCAGAUAGCUCUUUGAGGGGGCCUGUCUUGUGCAUUGUAGGAUGCUUAACAUCAUCCCUGUACCUACUAAGUGCCAAUAACAAUCUCCUCCUUUUUUUGUAGCAACCAAAAAUGUCUCUGGAUAUUUCCUGCAGGGGGAAAUCCUCCUGUUGAGUGCCACUGCUAUUAGCUAGGCUGCACUAACAAACUAAGGUAUUUGCUGCUCCCUGGACAUACCCUAUGACUUCUUACAUCUAGGUUGUUGUUUAUGAUGGCUCCCCCAUCGGAAACAAGCUUCCUCUCACUAAGUACGUUCAGAUCUUACCAUCCUUCAAACCAGCAAAAUGUUACUUUCUCCGUAAAACCUAACUUGGAUCAUCUUAAACAGAAACUCUCUCUCACCGCUGAGCACCCCAGCUCCUUAUCUGACCCUUUCCUGUUAUAGUUGUACAUAGCUCUUCUCUCUUUUACUAGACUGUAACCUCUGGAGGCACCUUUGUAUCCCAAGGGGCUUAUCUGAUGCUUGAUAAAUAUUUGCUAUACGAAGGGAUGAACUAUUUACACCGCAGCCUAGGAAAGGGUGUGGGACCUGGAGUCCACAGAGCCUCCAAGCCCCGAAGCCUCCAGCCCUGGGUCUCCUCCUCUUCCCAUCCCUCCUCCUCCCACCUGUGCUCAUCAGGACCGGGGCUUCUCGAAGCCAUCUUGGCAGCAGCAGGGCCAUGAAGAUGGAGAAGCCAACAAUGAAGACAUUCCGCCCAGAGUCAAUGUCAGCCAGGUGGAAGCUGGAGAAUCCAGUAGACAGAACCACGGCCUGGGUCACCCCAAGUACCCCACCUGUCUCGUAGGGAAGUAACCAAGGGGGUUGGGAAGGGCUGGCAGGGCAGGGAGGACUGCGGGGCGGGGCAGGUUGGGAUGGAGACAGACAACUCAUUUUCCAGUUACGCCAAAAGCCCACUGAAGAGGCCAAGACGUUGGGCUGGGGAAAAUGAUAGCUCACUGCUAUCCGUGUCAGGGGGGCUGUUCAGAAAGAGAGGGUGCCAGCCAGCCUCAAGCAACCAGCUGGGCCAUCCUGGAGGGGGAGGGGAGUGCUGGUUCAAUACCAGACCCGCUGAUACGUCCACUCACCAAGCACAGGCAGCGGGAUGGCGGUGAGGAGCUGGGCCAGCCUCGGGGAGAGCCCAAGCCCCACGCACAGCAGCCCCGCCAAGUGUGCCACUCUCCGAGAUCCCGCCUAGGGGGAGGAGACAUGCUGGAAGACACAGCCACCUAUUCAAACAAAACUCUUCAAAGUUUUUGCCUGGCUGGCCCAUCUCAUCAUUUGGAUCCCAACUCAAAUGGGACCCAAGAGUCCAAGAAGGACUCUACCUGAAGGGUCCUCCUUUUCUCAACCACUAUCCCACAACUACCCUGCUUUGUUUUCUUUCUUGUUUUUAAAGACUUUAUUUUUAAUUUUUACCUGCUUUGUUUUCUUUUUUUUUUCCCCGCUUUGUUUUCUUGAUAGCACCUAUCACUCUGAAAUUAUCUUACAUUUUUCCUUAAAUUGUCUGCCUUUCCCUCUCUGAAGUGCCCAAGAGAGCAGGGACUUUAUAAGACUUGAUCUCACCAACUCCCAGCCCAAGGAAGAGAAGGAAUGGAACGGUGGCUUAGUGUCUUCCUCACACUCCUAGCCCCUUUCCACUUCUAGGCACCUCCCUAAAUGAGAUAGUUGAGGUGGCGAGCGUGACAGAGUGCAGGAUGCAGGUGGCAACCAGGCGGCACGAGUGUCCCCCCAUCGCCCACAUCUCCUGCUCCCCUGCCCCCACCCUCACACACAUACCUGGAUAAGACUCACUGUGCCCACGUUGGGGAAGCUGGAUGCAGUGCCCAUUGGGCUCCCCAACAUCCCGGCCAGCACACUGCCCAGACCCUCCAGGCUCAGCCCUCGGCUGCACGCAUGUGGAGGGGGCGAAGGCAAUUGCAACAGCCGGCCACACAGGGCAUAGCAGCCCAGGGAGCUGGUGGAGGCUGCCAAAGCCAUGGAGAUGCCUGCAGCCAGAGCCCUGGGUGUCAGCAAGGGCCAGGUCCACUCAGCUGGGGAGGGAGAAAGAGCUGUGUUGGGGCCAGACCCAAGGCUGGAGCACCUCCCUGCCUCCAAGGUUUUGUGCCACAGGAAUCCUUGAGACCCCAUUGUCUUUGAAGACAAUCUCUUGCGACAAAACCAAUAAACCCAGGAGAAACUCUUCCCUUUACCAUGGUCUACAAGGCGUCAUGUCUCACCACACUCUGCCUCACUCCCUUCACUCCAGAUAUACUGGCCUUGUUUCAGGCCCUUUGUACUAGGUGUGUUGCUGGCUACCACAGGGCCUUUGCAUGUGCUGUUCUCCCUCCUAGAACGCUCUUCUCCCUGGCCUUCACUCUGUUAGCUCCUACUCAUCUCUCACAUCUCAGCUCAGAGAUCACUUCCUCAAGAAUACUUUUCCUGAUGUCUCAAAUACAGAGUCUCCAUGAUAAGCUGUCAUUACACAAGGUAUUUCCCCAUUAUCACACUUGCCACAUGCAAUUUUACAUUUACUUGGGUGACUAUUUAAUCAGGAUCUGCAUUCCCCAGCAGAUAUAAGCUUCAGGGGUAUCGGUACUGUGUCAUAUUUAUCACCACGUCCCCUAUCACAUGCCCAGCACAAAAUCAGCACACCACAGACCUCUGUUAAAUCGACGAAUGAACAACUUUUGUACACAACGCCUCAAAAGCAAUUUGUAUAUGUAGGUCACCAACUCAAAUGCCUGUGGGGGGAGGUAGCACAAAGGUGUAAGUUGGGUAAGGAGUAUCAACAGGGAGCGGUGGGCCUGCAGAUGUCUCUUCACACCCCCAAAAAACACCCGUGGCAAGGGGCUGCCAUUGCCCCCCUCAGACUGGCAAUUUCUCUCCCCCGUGUGUUUUGAGAAAACACAGGAUUUAAUUCAGAAAUGAAAUUCCCUAAAUCUUGAGUCCAAAGAAAUGAGGAUGGAGGACGAAGAACGAACCUACCUGGGUGAGGCAGCCAGACCCAUGGUGCCUUGGGGGAUGCAGCCAGCUCUAGAGGGAUGAGGCGCAGCCCCAGAAGCGCAGAGAUGAUCCACACACAGGCCACCGGCACCAGUACCUGAGGGGCAAAAACUGAGACUCUCACAUACCGAGAAGAGCCGGAAGACAGGAAUGGGAGUGUGGGGUGAAGAGUUUGAAGCUGGCCGCCAGGGGCACGGGGGUACCUGGCAGGAGCCCAGGUGCUGAGAACAGACCACCACGAGCAGGAUAAGCCUAGGAGAGAGAAGGAGUUUUAGGAGCAAGAGGAAGCAGGCCUCCUGUGUCGGGUGAUAGAGAGCCAGAAGACAGCUGAGGCCCCAGGGAGGAGGCCCACACUGAGAAGCCCAAAGGUGAGAGGAGGGAUUUUGGACAGCAGAUUGUGGUGGCGGCAGCGGUGGUGGCAGUGGUGACGACGACAAUGGCAGAGGAGCCAGGGCAUCCUGCAGGUCCAUGGAUCGGAGUUGGAUGGGAUGGUGGGGUGAUCGGCUCAUGCAGCCCUGCUCUCUUCUUGUCUUGGCUGUCCUGGGCCAGAGUUAAGUAGAGAGUGUAAGAGGUCAGAGUUUGGAUGAAGUUAGCUGCCUGGUGUGAGGAGGGGGUAGAGGUGUCAGUGAAGCGGAGCGAAGGGGUGAGGGAUUUGGGGCAGGACAGGCCCUUUCACCUUUGCCCAGCUGUUGUGCAAAUUCCAUCACCCAUUAACUGUGGAACCACAUUCUAGACCCCUCCCCCCAAGAAUCUCCAUCUAGAUCCCCUGUUCCACGCUCUGCAAUGCGGAGAGCAGGGGUGGGGAGAAGACUUAUCAAAGAUCCUGGGGAAGUUUUACAGUGUUCCCUCCUCACCACCAGCAACUGGAAAGAUCAGUGUUACACCAGUUUUCAGCCUUUUCGGAGUCCAGCCCCCAGGACUCCCCAGAAAGGAAAUGCAUGGGUAAUAUCCAUACAUGGCACGUGGCGACAGUGACCACAACUCCGUGUAAUAUCCUCACCGUAACAGAAAGGAGAAAUAAAGGUGAUUGGUAACAAGUA